rnacentral:rRNA from 1 species
UGGGAAGUAUUGCACAAUGGGCGGAAGCCUGAUGCAGCGACGCCGCGUGGGGAUGACGGCCUUCGGGUUGUAAACCUCUUUCAGCACCGACGAAGCGUGAGUGACGGUAGGUGCAGAAGAAGCGCCGGCCAACUACGUGCCAGCAGCCGCGGUAAGACGUAGGGCGCGAGCGUUGUCCGGAUUUAUUGGGCGUAAAGAGCUCGUAGGCGGCUUGUUGCGUCGUCCGUGAAAACCCGUGGCUCAACUGCGGGCUUGCGGUCGAUACGGGCAGGCUGGAGUUCGGUAGGGAGGACUGGAAUUCCUGGUGUAGCGGUGAAAUGCGCAGAUAUCAGGAGGAACACCGGUGGCGAAGGCGGGUCUCUGGGCCGAUACUGACGCUGAGGAGCGAAAAGCGUGGGGAGCGAACA